UAGGAAGAGUUGUUAGUACUAAUCAUAUGUAUGUGUUGGAUAGAGUGGAAAAUGGUUUUGAGAGGUAAAUUCCUCUUCCUCACACCUCUAUAGACAGGGUGACGAGUUUCCUUAAAUAUCUUCCUCCCCGCUCUCUUCUUCGGGUUGCUUGAUGCUAACCGCACCUCAGAAUCCGGUGAUGAUGCGUCGAAGGGAGAAAAAUCUUUUGAGGAAAUGGAGUGUGA
rnacentral:lncRNA from 1 species